GGAGGAUAUAGCUCAGUGGUAGAGUGCAUGCUUAGCAUGCAUGAGGUCCUGGGUUCAAUCCCCUGUACCUCCA
rnacentral:tRNA from 1 species